rnacentral:snRNA from 1 species
AUACUUACCUGGCAGGGGAGACACCAUGAUCAGGAAGGUGAGUUUCCCAGGGCGAGGCUUAUCCAUUGCACUCCGGGUGUGCUGACCCCUGCGAUUUCCCCAAAUGUGGGAAACUCAACUACAUAAUUUGUGGUAGUGGGAGACUGUGUUCACGCUCUCCCC